rnacentral:rRNA from 1 species
GAUGAACGCUGGCGGCGUGCCUAAUACAUGCAAGUCGAGCGAACAGAUGAGGAGCUUGCUCCUCUGACGUUAGCGGCGGACGGGUGAGUAACACGUGGAUAACCUACCUAUAAGACUGGGAUAACUUCGGGAAACCGGAGCUAAUACCGGAUAAUAUAUUGAACCGCAUGGUUCAAUAGUUAAAGACGGUUUUGCUGUCACUUAUAGAUGGAUCCGCGCCGCAUUAGCUAGUUGGUAAGGUAACGGCUUACCAAGGCGACGAUGCGUAGCCGACCUGAGAGGGUGAUCGGCCACACUGGAACUGAGACACGGUCCAGACUCCUACGGGAGGCAGCAGUAGGGAAUCUUCCGCAAUGGGCGAAAGCUUGACGGAGCAACGCCGCGUGAGUGAUGAAGGUCUUCGGAUCGUAAAACUCUGUUAUUAGGGAAGAACAAAUGUGUAAGUAACUAUGCACGUCUUGACGGUACCUAAUCAGAAAGCCACGGCUAACUACGUG